GACGAACGCUGGCGGCGUGCUUAACACAUGCAAGUCGAACGGAAAGGCCCUGCUUUUGUGGGGUGCUCGAGUGGCGAACGGGUGAGUAACACGUGAGUAACCUGCCCUUGACUUUGGGAUAACUUCAGGAAACUGGGGCUAAUACCGGCUAGGAGCUCCUGCUGCAUGGUGGGGGUUGGAAAGUUUCGGCGGUUGGGGAUGGACUCGCGGCUUAUUAGCUUGUUGGGGGGGUAUUGGCUUACCAAGGCUUUGACGGGUAGCCGGCCUGAGAGGGUGACCGGCCACAUUGGGACUGAGAUACGGCCCAGACUCCUACGGGAGGCAGCAGUGGGGAAUAUUGCACAAUGGGCGGGAGCCUGAUGCAGCGACGCCGCGUGCGGGAUGACGGCCUUCGGGUUGUAAACCGCUUUCGCCUGUGACGAAGCGUGAGUGACGGUAAUGGGUAAAGAAGCACCGGCUAACUACGUG
rnacentral:rRNA from 1 species